GUGAGGCGAGUGCUCCACCACUGCCAGCCCCGGCUUGUGCUUUUCAUGAUCACAUCAUCAAUACAAUUUUAAAAUGUGGCCAAGUAUGUGUUUUAAGAAAGUUUAUUUUUUUUUUUUUGGUACCGGGAUCGAACUCGGGACCUUGUGCUUGCAAGGCAGGCGGUGGAGCCACUGAGCUAAAUCCCCGGCCGGAGAGCGAUAUAUCUUUGUAUUCUAUAGGAAUCAUCCAGGCUCUAUGUAAAGAAUGGUCAGGGUCUGUAAAAGUUUCUAGAAGAAAAGGUUGGAAAGAAGCAUUAAUCUUGAAAUACAAUGGUGUGGAGCACAGCAAAGAGCUUUCUGGGGUCGGAAGUUAAAACAAGGAAAUGGAUCCACGAUAGUAGGCUAGAGGCACCACUCUGAGACAUUCACCCAG
rnacentral:lncRNA from 1 species